rnacentral:rRNA from 1 species
GGGGGAUAUUGCACAAUGGAGGAAACUCUGAUGCAGCAACGCCGCGUGAGGGAAGACGGUUUUCGGAUUGUAAACCUCUGUCCUUGGUGACGAAACAAAUGACGGUAGCCAAGGAGGAAGCUCCGGCUAACUACGUGCCAGCAGCCGCGGUAAUACGUAGGGAGCAAGCGUUGUCCGGAUUUACUGGGUGUAAAGGGUGCGUAGGCGGCUCUGCAAGUCAGGCGUGAAAUAUAUGGGCUUAACCCAUAGACUGCGUUUGAAACUGUGGAGCUUGAGUGAAGUAGAGGUAGGCGGAAUUCCCGGUGUAGCGGUGAAAUGCGUAGAGAUCGGGAGGAACACCAGUGGCGAAGGCGGCUUACUGGGCUUUAACUGACGCUGAGGCACGAAAGCAUGGGUAGCAAACA